rnacentral:SRP_RNA from 13 species
AGGGGGGGACGCUGCUGCUGAGGUUGUGGUUCUUGUCGUUGCUGGUAGUUUUGUUGCUGCCGCCGCCGCCGGCCCUUCCUACGCCGAGAGUUGGUCCGAUGGACGUCCCGAACGAGAAGGUCGGCCGGGAGUUGGGAAGGGGAGAG